rnacentral:rRNA from 1 species
UGAAUACGAGACGCUAAGGCGUCGAAGUAGUGUAUGUCAUACUUCCAAGAAAAGCUUGCACUGUCAUAGAUAAAAAACGCCUGUACCAUAACCGACACAGGUGGGUAGGUAGAGUAUACUAAGGGGCGCGAGAUAACUCUCUCUAAGGAACUCGGCAAAAUAACUCCGUAACUUCGGGAGAAGGAGUGCCUUAUUUUUAAGGCUGCAAUAACAAGAUCCAAGCAACAGUUUAUCAAAAACACAGGUCUCCGCUAAGUCGUAAGACGAUGUAUGGGGGCUGACGCCUGCCCAGUGCCAGAAGGUUAAAGAAGUUGGUUAGCUUUUGCGAAGCUGAUAACUGAAGCCCUGGUGAACGGCGGCCGUAACAAUAACGGUCCUAAGGUAGCGAAAUUCCUUGUCGGGUAAGUUCCGACCCGCACGAAAGGCGUAAUGAUUUGGAUACUGUCUCGGAGAGGGGCUCGGUGAAAUAGACUUGUCUGUGAAGAUGCGGACUACCUGCACCAGGACAGAAAGACCCUAUGAAGCUUUACUGUAACUUGAAAUUGAAAUUGGACUUUAUUCGCGCAGCAUAGGUGGGAGGCGUUGAUUAUAAUCUCGUGGGAUUAUUGGAGCCAUCAGUGAGAUACCACUCUUGUAAUGUUAGAUUUCUAACUUUGAAUCAUUAUCUGGUCAAAGAACAGUUUCAGGCGGGCAGUUUGACUGGGGCGGUCGCCUCCUAAACGGUAACGGAGGCGUACAAAGGUUUCCUCUGAACGGUUAGAAAUCGUAUCUAGAGUGUAAAGGCAUAAGGAAGCUUGACUGUGAGACCUACAAGUCGAGCAGGGACGAAAGUCGGUCUUAGUGAUCUGACGGUACUGAGUGGAAAGGCCGUCACUCAACGGAUAAAAGUUACUCUAGGAUAACAGGCUGAUCUCCCCCAAGAGUUCACAUCGACGGGGAGGUUUGGCACCUCGAUGUCGGCUCAUCGCAUCCUGGGGCGGUAGUACGUCCCAAGGGUUGGGCUGUUCGCCCAUGAAAGCGGUACGCGAGCUGGGUUCAGAACGUCGUGAGACAGUUCGGUCCAUAUCCGGUGUAGGCGUUAGAAUAUUGAGAGGAGCCUUCUUUAGUACGAGAGGACCGAGAAGGACAUACCUCUGGUGUACCGGUUAUCGUGCCAACGGUAAACGCUGGGUAGCUAUGUAUGGAGUGGAUAACCGCUGAAAGCAUCUAAGUGGGAAGCCCACCUCAAGAUAAGUAUUCUCAUC